rnacentral:rRNA from 1 species
UACGAAGGGAGCUAGCGUUGCUCGGAAUUACUGGGCGUAAAGAGCGCGUAGGCGGCUUAGUAAGUUGGAAGUGAAAGCCCAGGGCUUAACCCUGGAAUUGCUUUCAAAACUGCUAGGCUAGUGAUCGAUAGAGGAUGAUGGAAUUCCUAGUGUAGAGGUGAAAUUCUUAGAUAUUAGGAGGAAUACCAGUGGCGAAAGCGGUCAUCUGGGUCGAAUCAGACGCUGAGGUGCGAAAGCGUGGGGAGCAAACAGG